CGCCGCCGCCACCCUUUACCCAUCGGACCAUCGGUUAAAGUUGAUUUUGGCAUCACUGACGCCGCCUCCCAUCAACCCAUGUCCCUUUCUCCCCUUUUCUUCAAGUAACAGUGCUUCGAACAGCUCGUCCAAGUCAAAUUAUCCCCCUAAUCAAGAAGCAUGCAAGGAUCUUUGGGUUUCUAGGCCGAUCUUCUAACAAUCCAUAGGAUAAAGGCUCGUUUCAAUCCGUUGGAGCCUAAAACCAUGAAGAAACCACUAGAUUCGGACCUCUAGCCUUCAAAUCGCUCCGAAAAGGUGAAAAUCUGUCACUUUUUUGUUCAUCAUUUCAUUUUUUUUUUUUGAAAUUUCAGAAUUCUCCCUCCUUUUUAUUCAAAAUUCAAGGGCAAAAUCCCCUGGAAGAAGCUGUGGAAACCCCCUCAGCGUUUGCCUAUAAAUACGGCCUUCCUGGGUUGUUUCAGAUAGGUUUUGAGAAGGCUGGAAAUUCCCUUUGAGAUAGGCUCAAAAUUUAAGAGAAAACUUUUAUUUACUCUAAAAAGUUGAAUUGGAAAAUACCUUUCUUCUUCAUAAGUCUUCAUAACUAAAAAUCCAUAGUUCUUUCUAAGUUCUCAGAAAAUCCUCUUUUUAACUCUAUGUUCUUUUUGGCUGUAUAAUUUUGGUUGCUCUUGGCUAAGCAAAAAAACUAAUUCGAGCGGAUUCGGAGACUCGACGACGACAAUAGCCUCAGUUCGCUGUCCCAGAGAAGGAACCUUGGGAGCAUUAGGAGUUAUGGCAACUCCGGAUUCUGCCCAUAUCAGAGAGCAGCCAGCAGCAGAUUUAUUUGCUCGUGUCUAGCUGUCCCCUACUUUCGCGUCAAGAGUCUCCGUCCUCCUUCCUCUCUUCAAAUUUUUACACCUUUGUAUCGGCUUGUAUAAAUGUUUAUAUUCUUGACUAACAUUCUUUGGUAUGUUUGUAGUGUAUUUGUUUUCUAUUUGUGGGUGAACUAGUAUGAUAGUGAGUUUAAACGUUAGCAACUUUUCCCCUUUUCGGGUAUUAAUCUUGACUUAGCUAGUACUUAGA